AACGAACGCUGGCGGCAUGCCUAACACAUGCAAGUCGAACGAGACCUUCGGGUCUAGUGGCGCACGGGUGCGUAACGCGUGGGAACCUGCCCUUAGGUUCGGAAUAACUCCCCGAAAGGGGUGCUAAUACCGGAUAAUGUCUUCGGACCAAAGAUUUAUCGCCUUUGGAUGGGCCCGCGUUGGAUUAGCUAGUUGGUAGGGUAAAAGCCUACCAAGGCGACGAUCCAUAGCUGGUCUGAGAGGAUGAUCAGCCACACUGGGACUGAGACACGGCCCAGACUCCUACGGGAGGCAGCAGUGGGGAAUAUUGGACAAUGGGCGAAAGCCUGAUCCAGCAAUGCCGCGUGAGUGAUGAAGGACUUAGGGUUGUAAAGCUCUUUUACCAGGGAUGAUAAUGACAGUACCGGGAGAAUAGGCUCCGGCUAACUCCGUG
rnacentral:rRNA from 1 species